rnacentral:ncRNA from 1 species
CACGGGUUCUAGGGGUUUCGGUACCUUCCAUUGACAUUGAGUUCUCCUAGAUAUGCCCUCGGUGAUGCCGGGGUAUUU